rnacentral:rRNA from 1 species
CCUACGGGUGGCAGCAGUGAGGGAUAUUGGUCAAUGGCCGAAACGCUGAACCAGCCACGCCGCGUGAGGGAAGACGGCUUUCGGAUUGUAAACCUCUGUUCUCUGUGAGGAUAAUGACGGUAGCAGAGGAGGAAGCUCCGGCCAACUCCGUGCCAGCAGCCGCGGUAAUACGGAGGGAGCAAGGGUUGUCCGGAUUUACGGGGUGUAAGGGGUGCGUAGGCGGCUUUGCAAGUCAGAAGUGAAAUCCAUGGGCUUAACCCAUGAACUGCUUUUGAAACUGCAGAGCUUGAGUGGAGUAGAGGUAGGCGGAAUUCCCGGUGUAGCGAUGAAAUGCGUAGAGAUCGGGAGGAACACCGGUGGCGAAGGCGGCCUGCUGGGCUCUGACUGACGCUGAGGCACGAAAGCGUGGGUAGCAAACAGGAUUAGAUACCCGGGUAGUC